AACGCACCUUGCGCUCCUUGGCACUCCGAGGAGCACACCUGUUUGAGUGUCAUUGAAUUUUCAAAUCCCCCCCAUCUGUCUUCCCUUCUCUCGGCCCUCCGUGAGGGCAUGACGAGUUGGAAGUGGAAGUGGCAGUGCCGGCGGCUUUGGAUUGGUGGAGGAUCUUUGCAGGCUAAAUCUCCUGCUCCUCUGAAAUGCAUUAGCAAGGAAGGCCAUGGCGGCAUCUGCGCCUGUUGUUGGCAUGAUAAUUCUCAUCUCUUGCCUACGGACAAACGGAACCGCCCUGUCUCCCGCUCCUAAACCGUGCCAGAUCCUUCUGCACAAGCCUGACAGUGUGACCUCAAAUCAGGUGGGACUACCCACUGAACUUAA
rnacentral:misc_RNA from 1 species